UUCUGCAUGUUAAUGUUAACUGUCUUUGAU
rnacentral:piRNA from 1 species